rnacentral:tRNA from 1 species
GGGGAAUUAGCUCAGUUGGCUAGAGCGCCACGCUGGCAGCGUGGAGGUCAUCGGUUCGAACCCGAUAUUCUCCA